rnacentral:rRNA from 1 species
UACGUAGGGGUGCAACGUUGCCGGAAUUAUGGCGUAAAGAGCGUGUAGGCGGCCAGGUAGGUCUGCUGAUGAAACUCGAGGCUCAAACCUCGAGAUUGUCGGCGGAAACCAUCUGGCUAGAGUCCGGGAGAGGAGAGUGGAAUUCCUGGUGUAGCGGUGAAAUGCGCAGAUAUCAGGAAGAACACCCGUGGACGAAAGCGGCUCUCUGGAACGGUACUGACGCUGAGACGACGAAAGCGUGGGGAG